rnacentral:rRNA from 1 species
GGUAAAAAGAAAUAUUUAAGUCUACCUUUUGUAUCAGGGUUUUUUAAAAUUUUUAUGUAUUUAAUCAUCUCGAAUCAAUAAUGAUCUAAUUUAUUUAUUUUUGUUGAAUUAAAUAAUUUAUUAUAUUAGUUAUGAUAUGUUAUCGUAUUUUGUGUUAUCUAGUUACUUAAAUAAAUUAAUUUAUAUUUAGCUAUAAGCUAAUCAAGUAAAAGAGUUUAUUUUUUUAUUUAUUAUAAAUAAAAAAAUAAAAGGUUUAUUGAUUAGGUUUAAUAUUAAUCAUAUUUUUAUAUUGUUAUUAAUAAUUAAUUUUUCAUAAAUUUAUAUUAUAAGUAUUUAAGUUAUUUAAAUUAAUAUAUAAUUUUUAGUAAUAAUUAAUAAAUUAGUAUUAGAGUUGUAAUGUAUUUUUAACUCGUGGUUUAUUUGAUAGUUUAACAAAAACAUUUUUUUAAGUUUAUUUAAAGUACGGCCUGCCCAGUGAUUUUUAACGGCUGCAGUAUUUUAACUGUACUAAGGUAGCAUAAUCAUUUGUUUUUUAAUUGAAGACUGGUAUGAAUGGUUUUACAAAUAAUUAAUUAUAAUAGACUUUUUUAGUAAUUUUUAUUCUAAAUAAAAAUAUUUAGAUAGUAUAAAGGGACGAUAAGACCCUAAAAGCUUUUUUAUUAAUUUAGUAUAUAGGUUUAAAUUAUUAAGUUUAGUUGGGGUAAUUAAAAUAUAAAUUUUAUUUAAAUAUUUCAACAGUUAUAUUUGGUUUUUGAUCUUUUAUAUAAAGAUAAGUAGAAUUAGUUACUUUAGGGAUAACAGCGUAAUAAUUUUAGAAAGGCCUUAUUAAUAAGAUUGUUUACGACCUCGAUGUUGAAUUAAAAUAUCUAUAAGCUGCAGCAGGUUUAUAAGAGGGUUUGUUCAACCUUUUAUUUUUUACAUGAUUUGAGUUCAAAU